GAUGAACGCUGGCGGCGUGCCUAAUACAUGCAAGUCGAGCGAACAGACGAGGAGCUUGCUUCUCUGACGUUAGCGGCGGACGGGUGAGUAGCACGUGGAUAACCUACCUAUAAGACUGGGAUAACUUCGGGAAACCGGAGCUAAUACCGGAUAAUAUAUUGAACCGCAUGGUUCAAUAGUGAAAGACGGUUUUGCUGUCACUUAUAGAUGGAUCCGCGCCGCAUUAGCUAGUUGGUAGGGUAACGGCUUACCAAGGCAACGAUGCGUAGCCGACCUGAGAGGGUGAUCGGCCACACUGGAACUGAGACACGGUCCAGACUCCUACGGGAGGCAGCAGUAGGGAAUCUUCCGCAAUGGGCGAAAGCCUGACGGAGCAACGCCGCGUGAGUGAUGAAGGUCUUCGGAUCGUAAAACUCUGUUAUUAGGGAAGAACAAAUGUGUAAGUAACUAUGCACGUCUUGACGGUACCUAAUCAGAAAGCCACGGCUAACUACGUG
rnacentral:rRNA from 1 species